rnacentral:rRNA from 1 species
CUAAGCCAUGCGAGUCUUUGUAGUAAUACAAGGCAGACGGCUCAGUAACACGUAGUCAACCUACCCUAUGGACAAGAAUAAUCUCGGGAAACUGGGCAUAAUUCUUGAUAGAUCAUAAUGCCUGGAAUGGUUUAUGGUUAAAAUGAUUCGUCGCCAUAGGAUGGGACUGCGGCCUAUCAGCUUGUUGGUGAGGUAAUGGCCCACCAAGGCGAUUACAGGUACGGGCUCUGAGAGGAGAAGCCCGGAGAUGGGUACUGAGACACGGACCCAGGCCCUAUGGGGCGCAGCAGGCGAGAAAACUUUGCAAUGUGCGAAAGCACGACAAGGUUAAUCCGAGUGAUUUCUGCUAAAGAAAUCUUUUGCCAGUCGUAAAACCGCUGGUGAAUAAGGGGUGGGCAAGUUCUGGUGUCAGCCGCCGCGGUAAAACCAGCACCUCAAGUGGUCAGGAUGAUUAUUGGGCCUAAAGCAUCCGUAGCCGGCUUUGUUAGUUUUCGGUUAAAUCCAUGUGCUCAACGCAUGGGCUGCCGAAAAUACUGCAUGGCUAGGGAGUGGGAGAGGUAGACGGUACUCAGUAGGAAGGGGUAAAAUCCUUUGAUCUAUUGAUGACCACCUGUGGCGAAGGCGGUCUACCAGAACACGUUCGACGGUGAGGGAUGAAAGCUGGGGGAGCAAACCGGAUUAGAUACCCGGGUAGU